rnacentral:rRNA from 1 species
GACGAACGCUGGCGGCGUGCUUAACACAUGCAAGUCGAACGGUAAGGCCCUUUCGGGGGUACACGAGUGGCGAACGGGUGAGUAACACGUGGGUGAUCUGCCCUGCACUUUGGGAUAAGCCUGGGAAACUGGGUCUAAUACCGGAUAGGACUACGCGAUGCAUGUCGUGUGGUGGAAAGCUUUUGCGGUGUGGGAUGGGCCCGCGGCCUAUCAGCUUGUUGGUGGGGUGAUGGCCUACCAAGGCGACGACGGGUAGCCGGCCUGAGAGGGUGUCCGGCCACACUGGGACUGAGAUACGGCCCAGACUCCUACGGGAGGCAGCAGUGGGGAAUAUUGCACAAUGGGCGCAAGCCUGAUGCAGCGACGCCGCGUAGGGGAUGACGGCCUUCGGGUUGUAAACCCCUUUCAGCACAGACGAAGCGUAAGUGACGGUAUGUGCAGAAGAAGCACCGGCCAACUACGUG